CCUGACUGCUAUCGGAUUGGUACUAAGCCAUGCGAGUCAUUGUAGCAAUACAAGGCGGACGGCUCAGUAACACGUAGUCAACCUAACCUAUGGACGUGGAUAACCUCGGGAAACUGAGAAUAAACCACGAUAGAUCAUAGUGCCUGGAAUGGCUUAUGGUUAAAACAAUUUAUUGCCAUAGGAUGGGACUGCGGCCUAUCAGCUUGUUGGUGAGGUAAUGGCCCACCAAGGCUAUAACAGGUACGGGCUCUGAGAGGAGAAGCCCGGAGAUGGGUACUGAGACACGGACCCAGGCCCUAUGGGGCGCAGCAGGCGAGAAACCUUAGCAAUGUGCGAAAGCACGACUAGGUUAAUCCGAGUGGUUCCUGCUAAAGGAACCUUUUGUCAGUCGUAAAACCACAGACGAAUAAGGGGUGGGCAAGUCUGGUGUCAGCCGCCGCGGUAAUACCAGCACCUCGAGUGGUCAGGAGGUUUAUUGGGCCUAAAGCAUCCGUAGCCGGCUUUGCAAGUCUCCGGUUAAAUCCAGCUGCUCAACAGAUGGGCUGCCGGAGAUACUACAAAGCUAGGGAGCGGGAGAGGUGGACGGUAUUCUGUGGGUAGGGGUAAAAUCCUUUGAUCCAUAGAGGACCACCAGUGGCGAAGGCGGUCUACCAGAACGCGUUCGACGGUGAGGGAUGAAAGCUGGGGGAGCAAACCGGAUUAGAUACCCGGGUAGUCCCAGCUGUAAACGAUGCAAACUCGGUGAUGCGUUGGCUUAUGGCCAACGCAGUGCCGCAGGGAAGCCGUUAAGUUUGCCGCCUGGGAAGUACGGACGCAAGUCUGAAACUUAAAGGAAUUGGCGGGGGAGCACCACAAGGGGUGAAGCCUGCGGUUCAAUUGGAUUCAACGCCGGGAA
rnacentral:rRNA from 1 species